rnacentral:rRNA from 1 species
UAGGGAAUCUUCCGCAAUGGGCGAAAGCCUGACGGAGCAACGCCGCGUGAGUGAUGAAGGUCUUCGGAUCGUAAAACUCUGUUAUUAGGGAAGAACAAAUGUGUAAGUAACUAUGCACGUCUUGACGGUACCUAAUCAGAAAGCCACGGCUAACUACGUGCCAGCAGCCGCGGUAAUACGUAGGUGGCAAGCGUUAUCCGGAAUUAUUGGGCGUAAAGCGCGCGUAGGCGGUUUUUUAAGUCUGAUGUGAAAGCCCACGGCUCAACCGGGGAGGGUCAUUGGAAACCGGGAAACUUGAGUGCAGAAGAGGAAAGUGGAAUUCCAUGUGUAGCGGUGAAAUGCGCAGAGAUAUGGAGGAACACCAGUGGCGAAGGCGACUUUCUGGUCUGUAACUGACGCUGAUUUGCGAAAGCGUGGGGAUCAAACAGG